AGAGUUUGAUCAUGGCUCAGAUUGAACGCUGGCGGCAGGCCUAACACAUGCAAGUCGAACGGUAACAGGAAGAAGCUUGCUUCUUUGCUGACGAGUGGCGGACGGGUGAGUAAUGUCUGGGAAACUGCCUGAUGGAGGGGGAUAACUACUGGAAACGGUAGCUAAUACCGCAUAACGUCGCAAGACCAAAGAGGGGGACCUUCGGGCCUCUUGCCAUCGGAUGUGCCCAGAUGGGAUUAGCUAGUAGGUGGGGUAACGGCUCACCUAGGCGACGAUCCCUAGCUGGUCUGAGAGGAUGACCAGCCACACUGGAACUGAGACACGGUCCAGACUCCUACGGGAGGCAGCAGUGGGGAAUAUUGCACAAUGGGCGCAAGCCUGAUGCAGCCAUGCCGCGUGUAUGAAGAAGGCCUUCGGGUUGUAAAGUACUUUCAGCGGGGAGGAAGGGAGUAAAGUUAAUACCUUUGCUCAUUGACGUUACCCGCAGAAGAAGCACCGGCUAACUCCGUGCCAGCAGCCGCGGUAAUACGGAGGGUGCAAGCGUUAAUCGGAAUUACUGGGCGUAAAGCGCACGCAGGCGGUUUGUUAAGUCAGAUGUGAAAUCCCCGGGCUCAACCUGGGAACUGCAUCUGAUACUGGCAAGCUUGAGUCUCGUAGAGGGGGGUAGAAUUCCAGGUGUAGCGGUGAAAUGCGUAGAGAUCUGGAGGAAUACCGGUGGCGAAGGCGGCCCCCUGGACGAAGACUGACGCUCAGGUGCGAAAGCGUGGGGAGCAAACAGGAUUAGAUACCCUGGUAGUCCACGCCGUAAACGAUGUCGACUUGGAGGUUGUGCCCUUGAGGCGUGGCUUCCGGAGCUAACGCGUUAAGUCGACCGCCUGGGGAGUACGGCCGCAAGGUUAAAACUCAAAUGAAUUGACGGGGGCCCGCACAAGCGGUGGAGCAUGUGGUUUAAUUCGAUGCAACGCGAAGAACCUUACCUGGUCUUGACAUCCACAGAACUUUCCAGAGAUGGAUUGGUGCCUUCGGGAACUGUGAGACAGGUGCUGCAUGGCUGUCGUCAGCUCGUGUUGUGAAAUGUUGGGUUAAGUCCCGCAACGAGCGCAACCCUUAUCUUUUGUUGCCAGCGGUCCGGCCGGGAACUCAAAGGAGACUGCCAGUGAUAAACUGGAGGAAGGUGGGGAUGACGUCAAGUCAUCAUGCCCCUUACGACCAGGGCUACACACGUGCUACAAUGGCGCAUACAAAGAGAAGCGACCUCGCGAGAGCAAGCGGACCUCAUAAAGUGCGUCGUAGUCCGGAUUGGAGUCUGCAACUCGACUCCAUGAAGUCGGAAUCGCUAGUAAUCGUGGAUCAGAAUGCCACGGUGAAUACGUUCCCGGGCCUUGUACACACCGCCCGUCACACCAUGGGAGUGGGUUGCAAAAGAAGUAGGUAGCUUAACCUUCGGGAGGGCGCUUACCACUUUGUGAUUCAUGACUGGGGUGAAGUCGUAACAAGGUAACCGUAGGGGAACC
rnacentral:rRNA from 1 species